rnacentral:rRNA from 1 species
UGCGCAGGCGGUUCUGUAAGACCGAUGUGAAAUCCCCGGGCUUAACCUGGGAACUGCAUUGGUGACUGCAGGGCUAGAGUGUGUCAGAGGGAGGUGGAAUUCCGCGUGUAGCAGUGAAAUGCGUAGAGAUGCGGAGGAACACCGAUGGCGAAGGCAGCCUCCUGGGAUAACACUGACGCUCAGGCACGAAAGCUGGGAGCAAACA